AAGCUGUGCCCAACUGGGCAGAGGGAUCCUCCUCCAGACAUCGCUGAUUUUCAGCUCGAUUGAGUUUGAAAGAGGCAGCAUUGCAGAUCUUCACCAUGGAAUGAAGUGAUUACAGCUCCUCAAGAAAGAUGACAGAGAAAAUCAUCAGUUUUACAGGACUGGACAAGCACUCAGAUGUUUUCCCUGCAAGCACUCUCUGAUGCUGUAAUCUGGAGCACUGGUGAACGACGGGUUUCAGCUCAGAGUUUCCAAGAGUUGAUUGCACAACUGCUGGCUGGGCUUGCUGAUGUCUUGUGCUAGGGCAGGUGAUGUGCAAUAGAGGGCUCCAGAAGGGAGCAGAAUCAGUGGUGUGACACCAGAACCCUGAACUGGAGAGCCUCAGGAACCUUCCAGAAGUGAUAGCUGGGAAAGGUCAGAAAUCCUUAUGCUUCAGUGCUCUGCAAAGCUCCAAUGAACAGAGAAGAUCAAAGAGGUGUUUGAUGAAGUUAGAACCUUGGGCCAGCUCUUUUGAUGGCAUAACUUGACUUGAGUCCAGCUUAAUGCAGACUCUUGGGAUCUCCACCCCAAAUGGUUGAUCUCCACCGCAGAGGCUGAACGGUGCAGCUGGGUUUGCCUUCUGGGGUGGAACAGCAGGCAGGGCUCACUGCAGCUGUCUGGAGAGCAGAAGACAGUGUUUUCUGAGGAAUGAAUAGUGUCAAGGGUCACCAGAAGAGUGACAGAGGCUCCCUAUGAACACCUCUGCCUUCUCAAAGGGAAAAGGAAGAAGGUGGAGAGAAGUAGAAAAUAAAAGAGAAAGAGUUUAAAUGAAAGUAACAACAAGAAGAUGGGGACGAAGAGACACAAACCAAUAUGAAACCCAGCCUCUGAUGGCAGCAACAUCACCAUUGGCACUACUGGUGCUGGGGACAGGUAUUGGGGAAGCCCCAGAAUGGACUUAGCAGCAGAUGGGAACCAGAUCCAGGAGCUGGAUUCUGGACUUGAACAGGGAAAUAGGGAUCAGAGACAUAAGGGACAGGGUCCUCCUGGGACACCAGCCAUUGAAGAAGAGGCUUGACCCUGGUGAUCCCUCAGCUUGAACUUGAAGAUGCUGUCUAUGGGAUGCAAGUCCUUAUUGGGCAGUUGAGGGUCACCUGUCUUGUCUGCUGCUCCUCACAGCUGCCACUUCUGAUUUGCUGCACCCCAAGGUGGGGCACAAGCUGUGGCAGUGCUCUUGGUCUGCAGAAGAGCAAAUCUUAGGCAGAGGCUUUCUGCAGCACAGCUCUAGGCAGGAACUCUUCCCAUCAGCUUUUCCCUGCUGGAAGCAGCCCCUGG